UUUAUAAUUUUUAUUUUAAAAAAAUAUCUACUGAAUUAAUAAAACAAUACCCAAGACAAGACCUGGGGCUGCCCAAAACACUUCGAAAACAACAAUCAUAAACAGAAAUUAAAUCUAGGCCCAGUAUUUUAGACUUCUUCAACAAGCAUAAAAGAAGGAAUUCUAGAAAUAUCUAAAAACCAAAUGUAUAUUGAGAAACAAAUUUCAGGGGAAAAACCUUUCAUUUCCUAAACGAGCAUGAAACAGAUCAUCAGAACUCUGCUUCCCCUUUCAUCUACAACUGUGGUUUUUCAUUCUGGGCCUCUAUCCAUCGGCGAUCAACUUCUACCAUCGCCUCUGCAAACUCCGGCACAUCGUUCAUCAGGAAAAUCUCUGUUCUUUGCUUAAUCCCUUCAUUUGCUAACUGUUGUGCUGCUCCAUUGGCCGGUCUCUGCACAUGAUUUAAGGUAUAAAACCGGAAUUCCUUGCUCAAAUUGUUCACAUCUUCAAUAUAUGUUGAGAUUUCAGAUCUAUCAAUCUCAUUUCUACUUGCUUUUUUAUCACAAUAAGAAAGUCCCCUUCAACUUCAAGACUUCUGGUAUUCAGAUCUAAGCACAUCUUCAAGGCCAUAGCACAGGCCACUACUUCAGCCGUAAUAUUCUGGUGAAAAGUAAUUUUUUGAAGCUAUUACCCUUCCUCCUGAAUCCCUUAACAAAAUACUAGAACAUAAACUCUCUUCAUUUUUCCUAUAAGUAGCAUUGAAAUUGACUUUUACACAUGCGUUUCUCGGACUUUUCCACCAUUUCAUGGCUCCACAUUUCUUAGGUAAAAUUCUUCCCAAGUCAUCCAACUCUCUAAUGUAAUUCUUAAUAAAAUUCACAGUAAAUAGCUCAUCUUGACUGCCCAUUUCAUGCACCCAUUGAUUUCUUUUCAUCUAAAUUGCCUAUAAAGCACACACAAAUAAUCGACAUUAACUUUGUGAAUAACGUUCAAAAAUGUAAGCAAUCCAGUCUCUGUGGCUAGUAUUUUCCAAAUUUUGUGGCUAUUUGAAGCUUAAAUUUUCCUAGACCUCUGUUGUAAAUCUACAGUCUUGAAUCACAUGUAAGACUAUUUCUGCUUCUUCAUCGCAUCGAAGGUAACACGCCGUGCUCAUCAGUCUCUUGUAAUGUAGGUUGUUGAAAGUAGGAAUAAAAUUUCAAGUUAUACGCCACAUUUUAAUCUUGAUUUUUGGUGGCACAUUUAAUAGCCAUUUUUUUUUUGUAAAGAUUACCUUUUAUAUCUUGUACCUAUCUAGCAGUAGGGUUUGAAAGGUCUUGUAUUAUGAGCUUGUAACCACUACGAACAGAAUAUUCUCCAGACGCUUCACCUCUCCAUGCUAUGUGAUCAUUGUUUAGGCAUCGUGGCAAAGGAAUUUUGAGAAUCCUUUCAGCAUCCCUUUCACUAAAGGUAUUGAGGAUAGUAUCAAUUUUCCAUAUUCUAGUAUUAGGAUCUACAAAAUCUUCAACUAAUCGCACAUCUUGAAUACGAAUCCCAUCCUGAAUUUUUUAGUUCUUUGCUUUCGGUACCCAAGCAUCAUCCAGAAUUAAAAUGGAGGUCCCUAUACCCACUUUCCAGCAUAGUCCCGCUUGAAGGAGCCCUUUCGUACCCCAUACACUUUGCCAAGUAUAGGAAAGGUAAAUUACCUAAACUUGCAUUAAUGAAAUCUUUUAACGGGUAAUAUUUGGAUUUUAACGUUCUUGCUAACAAGGAAUUCGGAUAAAAAAUUAAACAACAUCAUUGCUUUGCUAAUAACAUUAAAUUGAACUUGGUUAAACUUCGAAAGUCGAGACCACCAUUCUCUUUUAAUUUGCACAUUGUUUCCAAUCACACUAAUGUAACCCACGUUUUCCAUGACUUCUCUACCACCAAAACUUCCCCAUAGGGUUUUCCAUUUCCACACAGAGAGAUUUUGGGAGAAGAAAACAAGAUAUAGAAUACGUCGGAAUUGAUUGCAAAACAAAUUUUAUAAAUACUCCUUUUCAUCCAUGCAAAAGAAAUCUUAUACUCCAACUUUCAAUUUUUUGCUUGAUACAAUUUUUAAUAUUUUGAAAGGCCCUUCGUUUUGUCCUUCCCACCAUAUUUGAAAACCCUAAUUUUUUUUAGGAUUAUUUAAACUUCAGACUCUUAAAAUGUUUUCCACCAGUUGCCUUUCCCGAUUACUAACAUUUGAGCUAUAGAAACUUGUUGACUUCUCGAAAUUAACACAUUGAUCUGUGCACCUUUCAUACUCCUUCUCGAAACCAUUUUUUGAAACCAUUUUUUGAAAAUAAAAAUUUAGUUGUUGAUUUUAAAAAAAUUGGAGCCGUCACCGAUCUUUUAUUGAGGUAUGAUCGGCUCACCUUAAAAAUAAUUUUUGCCUACAAAACUUGAGAAAAUGAGUUCAGAAGUCAGUUACGCACGAGGAAGGGUUAGCACCCUCGUAACGCCCAAAAAUUGGUACCAAAUUGAUUAUUUUAACGUUUUAGUGUCGAGGAUUAAAAAAAAACUCAAAUGAUGAAAUCUGAAAAGGAUAAUCAAAUGUUUAAGUCAAACGAAGAAAUCGAGACCUAAUACAUUAGGGUAUAAUUUCUCAAAAUUUCCAAACUUUGAAUAUCUCUUUUAUUUUAGGGAAAAUCUUCAUCUCGAGAAAACAAUAUAUCAUAUCCAAUGCGUUAGGACAUAACAUGUUGAAUUCUCGAAAAUGAUUUUUGUUUAUGCGUUUUGCAAAAGAAUAUUCUCGAUUAUUUAGGAUUAAUAAAGAAAAUCGAAACCCAAUACGUUAGGGCUCAAUUUCCUCAAAAAUCUCAAAUAUCGAAUAUUGCGUUAUUUUAAAAGCCUUUAACAAAAUCAAAAUAUAUUUUUAAAAGAUAUGUUUAAAAAAUGUGAAUGUACAAUCAUGAAAUCAAUACUUUAAUUUAAAUUAUACAUGUAUGUGUGUUAUAAAAUGUCAAUGCAUGUAUACAUACACAUACACAAAAGUUAUGAAAAUAAAAUAAUAACAAAAUGUAUAUAAAACAUGUACAUGUAUUUACAAAAAAUGAAAAAAAAUGUAUAAGUAUAAUAUAUUAGUAAAUUAUGAAAACAUGAAUAUAUAUGUAUAUAAUAAAAAAUUUAUAAUAAUUUCAAAUAGUGUAUAAAUAUAUAUAUCAUAAAUAUAUAUAUGUAUGGACUUUAAAAUAUGGAAAAUGUAUAAACAUUAUAAAAUGUAAAUGUAUAUAUAUAAAUAUAAAAGCUAUGCAAAUAAAAUAAUAACGAAAUAUAUUUAAAAAAAAUAUGUAUGUGCAUUCGAAAAACAUUUAAUAUAUAUACAUAUAUAUUAUAAAGACCAUAUGCAUCCGUAUAUGUAUAGGUAUAAUAAUAGUAAUAAUAAUACUAAUAAUAUAAUAAUAAUGAUAAUAACAAAAAUAACAGAAGCUUAAUAACAAAUAUAAUAUUAACAAACUAAUAUUUAAUCUAAUUUGUAAAAGCAAAUACAAUGGACUAAAUUGAAACCAAAACGGGAUUGAAAAAACAAAAGCAAAUUAAAAUAAAGGGCAAAUUUGCAAAGUGCGCGCAACUGGGAGGGCCAAUCGAAAAUUUACCCAAACCUUUCAAACGCUGCAUUUAAAAAAGGUUAAAAUAAUAAAAUUGGAAACCAAAGGGGAAAAUUCAAAAAAAAAUUAGAAACAAAUUAAAGCAAUAAAACAAAUCAAGAGGAUCAAAAGCGCAAAUAUCCCAUUGGGAUAAAACAUGCAGGCCGCAUGAAGAGGGAAAGAAAAGCUGCUCCAUUUUCCCCCUUUUUCAUUUUCUCUUUGUAUUUUCUACUAUUAUCUGUUCGUGGUCGAUUUGUUACAGGUACGUGUGUGUGGUGUGCACGGAGUGCUGAACGUGGGUAGUUGUUGCGAUGUGAGCAGUUGCUGCGGUGUUCGCGAAGGCAUGUAAGGGAUCUUUGCUGACGUGUGGCGCUAGGGCAAAGAGCUAGGGUUUUUCGGAUGUGUGCUGUUAGGGCUAAGCAUUUGGGCCGUUUGUAUUGGGUCAUUGGGUUUAGGUUGGUGGGCUAAAUGUUGGGACUGAUGUAGUCUGGGCUUUAGGCUUAAUUGGGCCCGGGAAAUAAUUGGGUAUUAUAGCUACCCCUCUUUGCUCGUUGUCUUGCAACAGGAACGGAGAAAAGACUUUAAAAAUGACCAAUUUUACCCGGUCAUGUUAGACUUGGGUGCGCUUCUUCUUCAAGUGGUCACAUCCCAACCUACUGCAUCUUCGGGGAGAUAAGACUUGCUCUGUUUAACUGUAAUAUCGGGAAAACAAGAUUCACCGUUGUGGCUUCAAUCUAUUCCACUGCACCACUAAGGGAGUAAGAUUGACUUCAAUCUUUUUAAAUUGCAAUGUCAGGGAAACCAGAUCCGCCGUCGUAACUUCAAUCUAUUCCACUGCACCACUAAGGGAGUAAGAUUCGCCGUUGUGGCUUCAAUCUUUUUAAAUUGCAAUGUCAAGGAAACCAGAUCUGCCGUCGUGACUUCAAUCUGUUCCACUGCACCACUAAGGGAGUAAGAUCCGCCGUUGUGGCUUCAAUCUUUUUAAAUUACAAUGUCAGGGAAACCAGAUCCGCCGUCGUGACUUCAAUCUGUUCUACUGCACCGCUAGGGAAGUAAGAUUCGCCAUUGUGGCUUCAAUCUUUUUCACUGUAAUGCCAAAGAGAUAGGAUCCGUUGCUCACAGCUUCAAUCCACUUCACGUCAACUGAUCCAAGCCUUAACACUAGGGAGAUAAGAUCCGCCGUCGUGGCUUCAAUCUGCUCAGUUGUGACGUCAGGGAAAUAAGAUUCGCCGUUGUGGCUUCAAUCUAUUCCAUUACAAAAUCAUGACGAUAAGACUAGUGGCUUUGAUCUGCUUCGCUGCCAGCAUAAGAAAGCAAAAUCUGCCAUUUUCAACUUACUUCACUGCUGCUUAGGGAGAUAAGGCUGAAGUUUCACCGGUUUGUUCUCUAGGGAACUGUGACAGCCCAAAAUUGACCCUAGUCGGGAAGUGGUUUCGGGACCGCUAAACCGAGUCACCGAAAUGUUCGAAUGAGAUAUUUAUUGUCUAGAAUAUGUAAUUAUGAAUGUGUGAAAAUUUCAAGCUUCGAUUUAGUCGAUUGCAUGUGAGUUUUAGUAAAUAGGACUUAUGUGAGAAAAUUUUGAAAUGUGAUAGGUCAAAGCAUAAGGACCUAUUAGUGCAUGUUGAAAAAGGGGGGACUUGCAUGUCAAUUUCCCCCCCUAUUAGUAGUGGCCGGCCAUGACAAGUAUGGUAGACCAAGUGUGAUGGGCAAGACAUGUCAUAGACAUGUUGUGUUGGUGCAUCAUGGGUGGAAACAAUAAAAUAAUGAGCAUGGUAAUUAAAUAAUGAAAGGGAGGAGUGAUGAAAAAAAAGAAUGGUCUCAUCCAUGCCCCCCCAUUGCCGUGAGUAAAAGAAAAGAAAAGAAAAAUUUUGUUCAUCCUUUUUCAUCUUCUUUUGGCCGAAAAUUCUAAGGAAGGAGGAAGGAGUUCUUGCUUCAUGUUUGGUUUGGAAGAGGAUUAGGAGGAGGUUUGGCCAUACUUGUAUCUAGAUCAAG
rnacentral:lncRNA from 1 species